UCGCUGGUGGCUCAGAUGGUAAAGCAUCUGCUUGUAAUGCAGGAGACCCAGGUUUGAUCCCUGGGUUGGGAA
rfam:TPA: Bos taurus chromosome 11, whole genome shotgun sequence.